UACGGAGGGUGCGAGCGUUGUCCGGAAUCACUGGGCGUAAAGGGCGCGUAGGCGGUCUGCUAAGCGUGCGGUGAAAGCCUGGGGCUCAACCCCAGGUCUGCCGUGCGAACUGGUGGACUAGAGCACUGUAGAGGCAGGUGGAAUUCCGGGUGUAGCGGUGAAAUGCGUAGAUAUCGGGAGGAACACCUGAGGCGAAGGCGGGCUACUGGGCCGAUACUGACGCUGAUGCGCGAAAGCCAGGGGAGCGAACGGG
rnacentral:rRNA from 1 species